UACGUAGGGGCCUAGCGUUGUCCGGAUUUAUUGGGCGUAAAGAGCUCGUAAGCGGUUCGGCAAGUCGGAUGUGAAAUCUCCACGCUUAACGUGGAGGGGCCAUUCGAAACUGCCGUGACUCGAGUCCGGUAGGGGAGUGUGGAAUUCCCGGUGUAGCGGUGAAAUGCGCAGAUAUCGGGAGGAACACCAGUGGCGAAGGCGGAUCUCUGGGCCAUUACUGACGCUGAGGAGCGAAAGCGUGGGGAGCGAACAGG
rnacentral:rRNA from 1 species